GCAAGUCGAGGGGUAAAAGGUAGCUUUCUAUGCUGACGACCGGCACACGGGUAAGUAACGCGUAUACAAUCUGCCUUUUACUGAGGGAUAGCCCAGAGAAAUUUGGAUUAAUACCUCAUAGCAUAUAGACCUCACCUGAUGAUUAUAUUAAAGGUUACGGUACAAGAUGAGUAUGCGUUCUAUUAGCUAGAUGGUAAGGUAACGGCUUACCAUGGCAACGAUAGAUAGGGGCCCUGAGAGGGGGAUC
rnacentral:rRNA from 1 species